CAUUUAGUUAAAAUGGGGUCUAAAAAUGGCCCAUUGUGUGUGAGUGGAUGUGCCCUGUGAUGGACUGGCACCCCACCAGGGUGUACCCUGCUCUGGGCUUUUUAGGGAAAGUCUCACCAUGGAACUGUACUUGAGAAGGGGUUAUGAUGGAUGGAUGGGUGGAUGGAUAGAUAGAUAAUGUAUGUUAAUUUAGUUUCUUUUGGCUGAAAUGUACAACAUGGAUUGUUAAAUUAUUUUUUACAAUUAAUAUUUACAUUUAGGGAUGUAUGAUUAAAUGUCCAAACCAAAUACUCUGGGAUGUGCUUUUCAUACCACAAUGUUCAAUAAGGGAUUCAAACCCAGAACCACCAGGUAACAGGCCUGUGCAGGACCAGUGAACACAUCUGUGUUUGUACUCUGUCUGACAUGAAUUUCAUGGUGACUGACUCUAUUCUUACUUUAUUUUAGUUGCUGUCAGUGUUUAUCUGGCAAAAUACUCAGCUGUAGCUUGGCAAGAUCUACUUGCAACAUUUUCCACUUUAUUAAUGUUUCCAGUCAUCAUGGUUUCAUUCCCAGUUGGUCUCGGUGUGUUUCGGAUAAUACGCUCCCGAAGGAAGGGAGAAACAGUACGACUUAGAGACAUUCUUUUAAUCAUGGGUUAUUUCCUGUAUAAUCCCACGCUGUUUAACAUGAUGUUCCUUGCUGUUUAUUCCCAACUCUUUGCCUGGAUGAGCGGCACAUUUAAACUAGAAUAUUCAAUUCCAAUUGCAGUGGCUGUUUUGGGAAUCUGUGCCUGCAUCGUUAUCAAGGAUUAUUUAUUGUAUCGUGAAAAUAAGCGCUUGGAGGGAUUUUACUCUGCAUUACAGCCUCACAUCAGCCUUUCUCCUCAUCAUCCUGGGGCCUCCUGGCCGCGUCUCCCCAUAAUUGUCCUAUAAGCUGUCCUACUGUUAGCAUUCAUUGCUAAUUGUUAGCAUUCCAGUCAGACUCAGUAUAAAAUGGUGGGAAAGUACAGCUCUGGAUGAUAAACCACAUAACAUUACACAUCAUACCUUCCGGGGUCACAGAGCCGGGCUUCCUGAGUGAAUCCUGGCAAAGAUCUAGGGCUGCAUGAUGUCACAUUGUGAUUAAAUGGUGCAUGUGCAAUAAUCACCAGGGCUGUAGAUGAUAGCAGAUAAUAACAAAAUUAGCCGUGCAGCAGGAACAAAAACAGCUAAAUUAAUACAAGGGAGAUAGUCUGAAAAAGCAUAACCAAACACAGACAUAGUGAAUCAGCAAAGAGGAACAGUGGUCAAAAGUCAAAGCUCACAGACAGGGACAGACAGACAGGGACAGACAGACAGACAGACAGAC